rnacentral:rRNA from 1 species
AUAAACGCUGGCGGCGCACAUAAGACAUGCAAGUCGAACGAACUUAACCAUUAGUUUACUAUUGGAGCGGUUAGUGGCGGACUGGUGAGUAACACGUAAGCAACCUGCCUAUCAGAGGGGAACAACAGUUAGAAAUGACUGCUAAUACCGCAUAUGCCUUGAGUAUCACAUGGUACAAAAGGGAAAGGAGCAAUCCGCUGAUAGAUGGGCUUGCGUCUGAUUAGAUAGUUGGUGAGGUAACGGCCCACCAAGUCGACGAUCAGUAGCCGGACUGAGAGGUUGAACGGCCACAUUGGGACUGAGAUACGGCCCAGACUCCUACGGGAGGCAGCAGUCGGGAAUAUUGCGCAAUGGAGGAAACUCUGACGCAGUGACGCCGCGUGCAGGAAGAAGGUUUUCGGAUUGUAAACUGCUUUAGACAGGGAAGAAACAAGACAGUACCUGUAGAAUAAGCUCCGGCUAACUACGUGCCAGCAGCCGCGGUAAUACGUAGGGAGCAAGCGUUAUCCGGAUUUAUUGGGUGUAAAGGGUGCGUAGACGGGAAAUUAAGUUAGUUGUGAAAUCCCUCGGCUUAACUGAGGAACUGCAACUAAAACUGAUUUUCUUGAGUGCUGGAGAGGAAAGUGGAAUUCCUAGUGUAGCGGUGAAAUGCGUAGAUAUUAGGAGGAACACCAGUGGCGAAGGCGACUUUCUGGACAGUAACUGACGUUGAGGCACGAAAGUGUGGGGAGCAAACAGGAUUAGAUACCCUGGUAGUCCACACCGUAAACGAUGGAUACUAGGUGUAGGGUGUGAUAAACAUUCUGUGCCGUCGCAAACGCAGUAAGUAUCCCACCUGGGGAGUACGGCCGCAAGGUUGAAACUCAAAGGAAUUGACGGGGGCCCGCACAAGCAGUGGAGUAUGUGGUUUAAUUCGACGCAACGCGAAGAACCUUACCAGGUCUUGACAUUGAUCGCGAUCUGCAGAAAUGCGGAGUUCUUCUUCGGAAGACGAGAAAACAGGUGGUGCACGGCUGUCGUCAGCUCGUGUCGUGAGAUGUUGGGUUAAGUCCCGCAACGAGCGCAACCCCUGUUCUUAGUUACCAGCGAGUUAAGUCGGGAACUCUAAGAAGACUGCCGGUGAUAAAUCGGAGGAAGGUGGGGACGACGUCAAAUCAUCAUGCCCUUUAUGUCCUGGGCUACACACGUACUACAAUGGCUGUAACAAAGGGAAGCUAAGCCGCGAGGUGGAGCAAAACCCAAAAAAGCAGUCUCAGUUCGGAUUGAAGGCUGAAAUUCGCCUUCAUGAAGCCGGAAUUGCUAGUAAUGGCAGGUCAGCAUACUGCCGUGAAUACGUUCCCGGGCCUUGUACACACCGCCCGUCACACCAUGAGAGUUGGGAAUACCCGAAGCCUGUGAGCUAACUUUUAGAGGCAGCAGUCGAAGGUAGAAUCAAUGAUUGGGGUG